GGCCCGUUAAUCAGUUGUAUUUACUCAUUGUUCGGAACAAACAGUGAAAUUCAAUACCAGGGUUGGAAAAACUUAGGCUGUAAUCCGAAAAUUGGAAAAUCAAGGCAGUUUAACAGGAGAGUGUACAAUGUCUAGCAUCAAAUAAUUCAUGAAUAAUUUUAGUUAUGAAAUGCCAAACAGCUAGCGAAAAUGUUCCCUUUAGGUCAAUUGUAAUAAGAUGCGACUCAUAUGUCUGUUACAGAGUAUAGGACUUGACCGUGAGCAUAUAGCAAGGUCUGGUAAUGAAUUGACCGUGAGCAUAUGGCUAGGUCUAGUAACGAAUUGACUGUGAGCAUAUAGCAAGGUCUGGUAACCAGUUGACCGUGAGCAUAUAGCAAGGUCUGGUAACCAGUUGACCGUGAGCAUAUAGCAAGGUCUGGUAACGAGUUGACCGUAAGCAUAUAGCAA